AUGCCCAAGCGCAGCUGCCCCUUCGCCGACGUGGCCCCGCUACAGCUCAAGGUCCGCGUGAGCCAGAGGGAGUUGAGCCGCGGCGUGUGCGCGGAGCGCUACUCGCAGGAGGUCUUCGAGAAGACCAAGCGACUCCUCUUCCUCGGGGCCCAGGCCUACCUGGACCACGUGUGGGAUGAAGGCUGUGCCGUCGUUCACCUGCCAGAGUCCCCAAAGCCUGGCCCUACAGGGGCCCCGAGGGCUGCACGUGGGCAGAUGCUGAUUGGACCAGACGGCCGCCUGAUCAGGAGCCUUGGGCAGGCCUCCGAAGCUGGUGAGUGACACCAGCAGCCCUUUGUGGCUGUGGCACUGAGGGCAGGUGGUGGCACGAGCAUUUUUCUUGAUUUGCAAGCUCAGGCUUUUCCUCCCUGGGUAAGCAGGAGUCUGACCCAGAGCUUGGCCUUCUGGCUCAGAAGGCUCCUGUUAUCAGGAAGUCUCACAUUCAAGACUGGAAGUUGUUAAACAGCUUCUAAGUACUGGGCCAAAAAAGCAGCAGAGACUCCCCGGGUAUCCCGUCUGCUUUCCGCCUGCAGCCCCCUCAGAUAGUCCCACAAGGCUGGAAACACGCCAGUCCCAUCUCUAUGCAGUGUGGGUCUCAGAGCAUCACCUAUGUUGCUGGUUAGAAACGCAGUCCCCGGCUCUACCUCAAGUCUGGUUGGUGUGUCUAGGAGGAGCCCAGGCACCUCUUUGUUAACCAGUAAGGCAGUGGGCCACACUGAGACCCAGAUGGGACACAUGGAGUUCUGACAAGCAACAGGGGAAGAAUGGUCCUUCCAGCACUAGCCUCCAGGUAGCAGAGGGACCUGGGAAGGGAAAGAGCACUGAACUUGGAGUCAACUACAGGCAUAUCUCACCUUGGAUCUCUCUAGUAAAACGGGGGUCCUGUGCACUGUACCAGGCUCACAGGUUGUCAGAAGGAUCCAGUGUAGGUGGGGAUGGGGUAGGCAGGUCAGAGCCCUCUGCCCUCAGGUGUGCAUGGAGGCAGGUAGCCCGGCAGUCCCGGAAACUCCAGUCUCCUUGCAGCCUGACGGCAUGGCGUUUCUUUCUCACAGACCCAUCUGGGGUAGCGUCCAUUGCCUGUUCCUCAUGCGUGCGAGCCGUGGAUGGGAAGGCGGUCUGCGGCCAGUGUGAGCGAGCCCUGUGCGGGCAGUGUGUGCGCACCUGCUGGGGCUGCGGCUCCAUGGCCUGUACCCUGUGUGGCCUCGUGGAGUAAGUACUUCAGUCCCUGGAGCUGCUGAGAUUCCCAUAGCCCCAGCAAGCCGUGAUGGGGGACGGGUGGGUCACCCAUGUGGGCCCAGAGCACACACAUGUGUGGCCCCUGAUGCAGUGCCAUCUGGCAUUGCCUAACGGGACAUGGUGGCAAUAGAUGCUUGGCCCAACUUUAGUGGUUAGUAAUCCUCUCUAAGGGAAAGCUGAACCUCACAGAUGAUCUGCUCUGUAUCCGGCUCUAGUCCCUGUCUUCAGCCACUUCCUGUUCUGAUCUUUGAGCGCCCCCACCUCCUCCUCCUCUGGUCUUUGAGCGCCCCCCCUCCCCCCGUCCGAGGACCCCCUGGUUGGUGACACAGGUGCACACUGCAGCUUCACCACAGUCAUGCGUGCCGUUUGGUUGUAGACCCUCUCAGGCAGGAAGUGGAGUGUUUGCGUAGUCUCCCAUUUGUGGGUGGGUUUGCUGCAGCUGGCUGGAUCCCGUCCUUACUCCUAAGGUGGGGAGGGGCGUUCUCACCCUAGGGGCUACUCACCUGGUGGAUGGGAGUGGACAGUGUGGAGCCUGUUUGCCCUGCCCCGUGAGAAAGAUGACUUCAUCCAGACACAUGUGGAACUGGCUCCAUAGACCCAAAGCAAGCUUAGUCCAAACAAUGUCUGAAAUUGUCCAUCUAAAAUAGAAACCACAUGUUACAUCUCGAGUCCUUUCUCUUGAGCCUUUCUUCAGUCGGGGCAGAGGCCCAGACUCAUUGGAGACGGAGAGCCCCGGGCAGGGGGUGGGCAGCACCAGGGAGAAGCGCCGCGUGCCAGUGAUCGGCUCCCAUGGCUUCAGCAUGGGCAGGAGUGGGGUAACGCACCCCAUCCAGGUUGGGAAUCAUCUGCAGGGCUAGCUAUGAAUGUGGGAUACUCUGUCUUUGCUUUUCACCCGCUGAGUUCAUCUACUUUCCUAGAAGUAAACUGAAAAGGGCAGGGUUUUCUCAUUGUCUGGUGGCCCUCUCACCAAAGCAGAAGUGAACGUAGCCAUGGGCAGGUUCAGUGGAGAGGUGGGUCCCAGAGCGCUGCGUGGCUGGCCUCCCACUCCUGCCCUGCACACCAUCCUUGAGGGACUCCCUUGCGCCCAUUUCCUCCUGGCCUCUACCUACUUUCUGCUGCUUCUUCCUCCCAUACCCACAGAGUUCACGUUGAGCUGAGUGGGCCACUGUCCCCACUGUGGACACACUCUUUUAUCGCAGCUACAGCACAGGAGGUGGGCUCUGCCCUCUUUCACAAAUAAAUGACUUGUUCCAGGUCACAAGCCAGAAGUGGCAUUCCCAGGCCAGGCAGUCCGGCCGGUGGCACCCGCAGUCUCCUACCCCCUCCCCUGCCAUUUCCUACUUCAGGACCAGGCGUCGCAGGAGUGGGGGAAAACAGGGAUCUGUCCACACGGCUCUGGUUUAACACAGAUGCAGCCCAGCAGCCUUUGGCGUCCUGCCUGAUGGCCUGCACUGGCCCACGCCUGGCCCAUCCUCUGCAGGGCUCUCCCGCUGGCUGCCGGUGGCGGGGAGGGGCUGUCUUCACGGCUCACCCACAAUACUACUGGCAAACUCUGCAAACCAGGUGGCAAGCAGUUCUGGCUGCCUUGUUGACUCCACGGCCCUGUCGUGUUUGGGGUAGCCAUUGCCAGUCUCGUUUCCUCGCAACAUCUCUCUUAAUCACUUUCUCCCUGUGUUUUGCCGGGUUCCCUAGCCUUUACCUUUAGAGCUUUCUUUUUUUUUUUUUUUUGAGACGGAGUCUCGCUCUGUCACCCAGGCUGGAGUGCAGUGGUGCGAUCUUGGCUCACUGCAACCUCCACCUCCUGUGUUCAAGCAAUUUUCCUGUCUCAGCCUCCCAAGUAGCUGGAGUUACAGGCGUGCGCUAGCACGCCCAGCUAAUUUUUGUAUUCUUAGUAGAGACAGAGUUUCACCAUGUUGGCCAGGCUGGUCUCGAACUCCUGACCUCAGGUGAUCCUCCGGCCUCAGCCUCCCAAAGUGCUGAGGUAAGCCACACCAUAGGCGUGAGCCACCAUGCCCGGCCCUAUCCUUAGUCUUGAUAUAUCAGAAAAGCACUGUUUGAUGUGCUUCAGUGUAAACCAUUGUGGUUCGGUGAAUUCUGGCAGGUCAUCUGGAGGUUUCUUUGGAGAGCUUCUAUCCUACUGGAAACCCAGGUUGGGCCCCAUGUGGAUUGAUCGGCAGUGGGAAUCAGCUAGGGCUGCUGUAACUGAGUUCGCAGACCCAGUGGCAUAGACAGCAAAGAGGUACUGCCACAUGGCUUUGGAGACCAGAAGUCUGAGAGGAAGGUGCUGGCAGGGCUGAUUCCUUCUGAGGCUGCAAUGGAAAACCUGUCCUGGCCUCUCUCCUGGCGUCUGCUGGUUAUCUUUGGUGUUCCCUGUAGACAGCUGCCCCCUCCCUGUAUCUUCAUGUCGUCUUCCUUCUCUGUGUCCUUCUCUUCACGUAGUCUUUUUAGGACGCUGGUUGUGUUGCCUUAGGGCCCCCAUGUCAGUGCCGUCAUCUAGACUGAUUAUGCCCGCAGUGAUCCUGUCCCCAGAUAAGGUCAUGUCCUGAGGUGUUCUGGGUUAGGACUUUGACGUUUAAAUGGUGGGGGGUGGUGGACACAAUUCAGCCCCUGACAGCAGCUUUUCUCUCCCCUCCCUGACGCUGUCGCAGCUGCAGUGACAUGUACGAGAAAGUGCUGUGCACCAGCUGUGCCAUGUUCGAGACCUGAGGCUGGCUCAAGCCGGCUGCCUUCACCGAGAGCCACGCCGUGCAUGGCAGCCUUCCCUGGACGAGCGCUCGGUGUUCACACUGAACUGUGGGGUCGACGGGAGGGGUGCCUUUUACAUGUUCUAUUUUGUAUCCUAAUGACAGAAUGAAUAAACCUCUUUAUAUUUGC
rnacentral:sRNA from 1 species